rnacentral:lncRNA from 1 species
AGGAAUGGACUAGAGAAGUAAAAAGUGUGGUCGUAGGAAAAAUGAUAAUACUUAUGAUAAUAAUAAUAAUAAUAAUAAUAGUUUAAAGAUAUUGAUCUUGUUUUAUAUAGUGUAAAAAAUUUUCUAUCAAAAUUUUACGUGAUUUGAAUAUUUCGACACCGUUAAACUUACAAAUGGUUCACUACGGUCAUUAAAAUUAUUAAUUUUUAGCCCCUUCGAUCACUAGGCAAAUGAUAUCGAAAAAUUAUAAAAUUUAUUUUUUAGGUAUUUCAAAUACUCUAGAUCAAGUUUAACGGAGCCGAUCGACGAUUCGAAAGUCGCAAUAUUGAAAAUGAACUGAAAGCACGGAAGACUCCGUCCUUCCAGAAGCAUAGUAGCCUCACACAUUUUUGAGACAAGGUUACAAAAAAUAUAUA